ACCCUGUAGGCGGCACAAUGUAGACCACAGGCAUAUGUGAGUUUGGCUUCUUCUCUUAGUGGCAAAUAGAUAAAGAGGUUAUUCUUUGGCGUUGGGGAUGGGGCUUAUAAGGUGGUUCUAUGACCACUUAACCAAUGUGGAAAGGAACACAAAGUACUUUUGAUUAGAAAGACUGAAAAUUACAAAUUGGCUGAAUGGCAGGUGGCUGAUAGAGACACGGGCCUCAUUACACAAUUCUUUCUGUUUUUACAUUUGACAUUUUCCAUAACAAAAUAUUAAGGAAGGAAGUGGUCCCUAGGCUUCGGUUUGUCUUGGCCCAUUUUCUACUUCCAGAACUGGCCAGACUGCCUCUGCUGUCAGGGCCCUUGACCACCUGCAAGAAAUUCCAGAGACCACCGUUGUCGGUCACCACAGCAAAGAUUCUGGAGCCCUGUGCGGGCAAAGAAGAGGCAAGGCCCUCCUGAUGAAACGUGGCCUUUUAUGAGAAUACUCCUCUCUGAUAUCUGGAAAUGCGCUAGAGAAGCAGGAGGUUUUCUCAUUUCUUAUUUUCCCAGCCACCCAAAACCAAAAUAGGUUCAGAGGGGAUUUGCAGCUUCAAGUCAGAAAACUCUGCCUUGAAUUUCAGUGUUACCAAAAAAAAAAAAAAAAAAGAAAAAAAGAAAAGAGAUCAUUGUAGUCUACUAAUGUAUGUGCACAGACAAUCACGGAACCGAACCUGUUCCAGGUAUCCAGGCAAAGGAAGGCUCGUGAGAUGGAUGGGCUCCUUCAAUGGGGGCAGUUUGUACGGAAGCUUCUGGCUCCAGUAUUUCUCUGGCAACCUGAGAACACAGAGUUGGUCAGACGGAUGCUCACAAGCACAGUCCCCGUGAGUACACGGGACUGGGGAUGUGUCAGAGGGGACUAAGAGCUCAAGUUCACCAGCUGGUUUUCUCCCCUGGAGGGAAAGUGACAAGUGAGAAGAUGGUGGCUGCUAGAGAGCGGUGACCUGCACUUUACCUGGUCCCCAGGGCUGCUCACUUAUGUCUCACUUUUCUUGUUUUUCACAGCAACGAUAGGCUUUGUUCUCUGCAUCCUCCUGACUCCCAGGGAACCCUUGACACAGAUGCCGUGUUAUAUACAAACAGAAGCUCGCCCAUGGCACUUCCUCAACCGCUCACCACAGGCAGAGCGGCACACGCUUCCUCUUUCCUGGGGGGAGCUAACCUCCCCGUCAGAGCUGCCUCCGCCCUCUCCCCACUCUCCGCCCCACUUUGGAUCCCCCCCCCCCCCAGAGUCAUUUCUCUCUCUCCCCUUCUGCCUUUCCUUCUUUAUGGGAUCCUCCCCAUUCCCCUGCAUUUAAAUGCGCUCCUAGCUCCCUCAUUGGAAAAAGAAGGAAAGAGACAAACAACCUUCACUCCUUCCAUCCUAAUUCACUUCUAGCAACUAGUGUCUUUUCUUUUUGAACUUCUUCAAACCGUGAGCGUUAGUAGAAGUAACACACUACUGCACAAAUUCCGUCCCAUCUGAUCCACACAGUAUUUUCAGAAAUUUAGAUCAGUCAAGAACAUUAACAACAACAAAAAGAACGAUUUGGUUUAAAAAGAAAAAGAAAUCUGGUUUUCAGCUUGUCAGACAGAAACAUCUGGCACGACGCUCUCCUUACUUGGGGCCUGCCCGUUGGCCUGUCUGCCGCAGACCCCACCAUGCCCUGUGCUCUCACACCCAGCCGGCUUCCCCCAGGGGCUUCACCCUCUGUAGGUAACCUCUGUGAGUGUGAUCUCUGGGCUCCGGAGGUAUUCCUUUCCUCCGUGGCUACUGUAGUUACCUUCCACUCCGCUCACUCUACUGAAACCAUUUCUGCCAGGUUCACCGAUAACCUCUUACAACCAAACUCUGACACACUUUUCAGUUCUUCUCUUGCUUGACCUCUAAACUGUGUUUAAGCUUGUUGGCCACUGCUGGCAUCCCCCAGUGCAGGGCUACCGCCGCCAGCUCCCUGAGACCUUCUCUCGUCCCCCGCUCCCAGAGCCUCCCCGACCUGGCUCUCCUUUGCCACUCUGUAGGUUCUUGAUCAUUCUCUUUGCAAGCUCUUCUCCUCACAUUUGUUGACGUUUCUCAGAGCUUGGUCCUAAGCCCACUGUUUUCCCCACACUAGUCUUCAUGGGGGACCUCAGACGUGCUGUAGUAUUUUGGGCAGGAUCAUUCUAACAGCCUCAACACUGGUAUUCCUGCCUCCAAUCCAUUAUCAACACUCCAGUGAUAGUCUGUUCCCAAAGCAAAUUUGAAUAUAAUAUGCAAAACCAGUUAAUGUAUUCAUACUGCCUUUUGGGUCAAGUUCUAAUACCUCCUGGUGAUUCUCUCUGACCUUCGCCCUCUGGCCCUGCUGCCAUCUCCAGCCUCACCUCUCAGUCCUUUUCCUUUCGUCCACACCAUGCCUAGCCGUGCUGGAUUUCUUGCCGUGCUGGGAUUCCCCUGGGUGAGGUUUGUAGGUCUCUCUGCUUGGAACAUGUCCCUCUUUCCCUUCAUCUAUCCCAUUCCCACUCCCCGCUCAGGCCUUACUCCAACAGACUAUUCAGUCAGACUUUGGGGCUACCUGUUACCAGAACCCCUGGGAUGUCACCACCCUAAGUGCCAGUGCAUUCUGCUGUAAACAGGUGUGUAAAGUCCAGCAUACCUCAGAGCCUCAGGCUUUGGGACAGCAAGAACCACUUCUUAGUCAUCAUUACGCAUGCACGUAUGAGUGUGUAUGCAUGUUUGAUGUUUGUGUGUAUGUUGCGUACGUGUGUCAGCACACACAAAUAUAUUUAUGCACACACACACACACACACCCCAGCAUGGUGCAUUGAACACAGAAGAUAUUCAACAUUGGUAACUUGGGGAGUAGUCUCACCUCAAAAAUUUCUCAAGUUUUUCUCUAGUCUCACAAAUAUAUAUACGAUCACGAUACUCCAAAGCAAAUUUAAUGUUACCAGGUACAAGGGCCUCAUAUCUGAAGGAUGAGAAGAAAAAGAUUGUAUAAUUAAUACAUGGUACUGUAUAAAUAAAGUGUCAAAAAUG